GACGAACCGUGCGAACGUUGUUCGGAAUCACUGGGCUUAAAGGGCGCGUAGGCGGGUUACCAAGUCCGGGGUGAAAUCUUUCGGCUUAACCGGAAAAGUGCCUUGGAUACUGGUAGUCUUGAGGGAGGUAGGGGUAUGUGGAACUUCCGGUGGAGCGGUGAAAUGCGUUGAUAUCGGAAGGAACGCCGGUGGCGAAAGCGACGUACUGGACCUCUUCUGACGCUGAGGCGCGAAAGCCAGGGGAGCGAACGGG
rnacentral:rRNA from 1 species